rnacentral:lncRNA from 1 species
CUUUAAAGUACAGUGGCCAUUCCAAGGAGAGGAAGCUGCUAUCUCAUAGCUGGGUGUGGAGGAAUUAGGGGUGAGUUGCCAGAAGAGUUAGCAUUAGAACUGGGCUUCAGGGCAAAGGAUGUGAACAAGCUGGGAGGGUGGCAAAAGGAUAUGGGAGGACAGUGGGAGGUGUGAGAUUCCCUGUGUGACUUCAGCUGUGUGACUUCUCUUGUGGUGGUGCUGUGGUGAGAAAACGCUGCUUUCAGUCCCCAUAGGGCCACUCAGCCUUGGUAGAGCCUUGGUAGAGAGCUCAAUAUUUCCUCAGCCUUGGUAGAGAGCUCAAUAUUAUAUUGUGAUUUUGGAACUCUUGAAUCGAUUUAUUUAGUUUAACUCAGUAUGUUAGAGUUAAGCCGAGUCAGGGAGUGGGAAUUAGGCCUCCAGAGCUCCAUGCUACCAUGCCCUGGAUUCUCAUUUUUCCUUCUCCUGGAGGUGAUGAACCUACAAAACCUGCCUGAGAACUUUGCAAGAUCAUUCCCAAAAGAAGAAAAGAUUAGACUUUGAAUCUAGAGUUUCUUUUCAUUUUUUUUAUUACCGUUUUGUGGACUCUCCAUAUUAUCACCUUGUAGCCUUUUUAUUUGUUUCAUGUAACAUAUAUUUAGUAGUGCCUACUAUGAACUAGGCAUUCUCAUAAGCAUUUUACCAAUAAAAACCCUCAUAGAAACAGAGAAGGAACUGUUAGUACUCCUGUGGCAGCUGGUAUCACUGUUCUGCCCAGAUCUCUUUAGCCUUUUUAUGUAUACCAUUUCCAAUGAACUUUCAGCCCCAAUAACCAACACUUGCAUGUCAGACAUAGACCUUCCUCCAGUCUGCUGAAACCUGCUUUGUCUGUGUUUAUAAAGAGUCGUUUGGGAAUUUAUGUCUCUGUGGUGUGGCACUGAACCAAUGGCUGAGAGGCAUAGGAGUAUAAACACUUCCGUUCCCUUGUGCCUGAUGAAGAUGGCUUCGAGGUAAGACCUGCACUAUCUCCAAAGCUCCCUGAUGAGAUCAAUCCAAGGUUUUCUUCUGUGGGACUCCUCUUGAAAUCAUAUUCCCUUCUCAUCACUGCUCCACUUCUCCACUCUUCUGUUUUUUCCUGGGAACACUUUCUAACAAAUCCAAGUUUUCAUGUGGAUCAUUGUUUCAGAGUUUGCUUCUGGGGAAUUUUACCUACAUGGAUCCCAAUUUUGCGGUAAAGAAAACGAAAGCCCAGAGAAGUUAAGUAAUUUGCCCAAGGCCACUCAGCUGGUACUUGACAGACUGGAGAUUCUAAUUCUAGCAUUUUGGCUUUGUUUACCCUUGAAGAUUAGGAGGAAAUGAUUGGAAAGCCAACUAGGGCACAGGAAAGAGCCUUCUUUAAGGUAGAUGAUGGGAGGAGGGGGUUUCCUAGGAGUACUGAGGCUGAGGAUUAAAUUGAUUGGGAAGGAUUCUCAAGUUGAAAGCUAUCAUUAUAAAAUGGGAGAUUUUGAGAGUUGACUGGUGGUUGUUAGGAACUGGGGGGAGGGAGAGGUGGGCAUUGCAGUUCAAUGGGUAUAAAGUUUCAGUUAUGCAAGACGAUUAAGUGAUGGAGAUCUGCUGCACAACAUUGUGCCUACAGCUAACAGUGCUGUGUUGUGCACUUGAACUUUUGUUAAGAAGAUAGAUCUCUACGUUAAGUAUUCUUCCCACAAUUUAAACAAAUAAAGAAAGAAAAUAAGAGAGAAUCAUAGCAUUGUGGUUAAGAGCCCAGGCUUUGGGGUGAGACAGACCUGGUAUAAAUUCUGUCUCAGCCACUAUCUAGGUUUUGACUUUGUUCAAAUCACAACCUCUCUCUGGGCUGCUGGUUUUUCUUCUGCAAACUGGGGAUAACAAUUUCUGCCUCACAGGGUUGUAUGAAGUAUUUUACAUUAUGCCUGGCACAUAGCACUAAAUACAUAAUAAGUAUUAUUAAUCCCACCUCUUUGCAAAAGUUAGUGUGCUUAUAUUAAGGUCAGGAAGGUAGAAGUGUAAAACCUGACACAGGGUUGGGAGCAGAACAGAUUCUUUGUAACGCCCAGUUAAUACUCCCUAACACAAUGACUAUAAAUGUUCCUCUACAUUCAUCCUAACAUGCCAUUUGUGAGCUAACCUUGGAAUACAAUUAUUAUGCAUAGCUAUGUUCUGAAAUGGAAGAGGUAUCUAAAGAGCCAAAUAAUAGACCCAUAAAUGAGUGCCUUACAUCUGGCCAAGGAUUACAUAGGCCAUGAUGGAAGUUGAAGAAAUCCUGUUUACACUAGAAAAUCAAGAUUCUCAAAUAUUCAUCAAGCCACUUAAUUAUCCUAGUUGCCAAAUUUAUUGGACAUGAAAGAAAAGAUUCUUGGAAAACAGAUGCUAAGAAGUAUAAUGCACAUUUCCCAGACCAGUUCCUUAUCUGAGGCAACCUGAAAUUCGCAUUUUAUUCUUACUUGCCUUAAUCAUGCACUGAGAGAGUAUGUUUCUAAAGCUCUGGGCGUGAUGCUUGUAGAAUGCAGUUCUAUGGGUGUUAGUUUGCUUCCUUUACUCCUACUCUGUACACCUAGGACUCCUAGAGUGGGUGUGCCCUGGAUGUUAGGAACCCUGGUGGUUUCAGUUGACAUUUAUCCUAAGGUCUGUUAGGUUGAGCCCAUAAAGUCUUCAAAAGAUAUCUUAUAUUGGAUCUUGUCUUAAGAGCCUGGUACAGAAAUGCUUUAAAAAGGACAGAAUGAUAAUCCUUUAGAAAUGCCAAAAAAGUAUUUGGAAAUAAGAUAGGUCAUCAUUAUAUCACCUAAAACCCCUCUAAGAAGCUAACACCAUCCUACAGUAAUUGGAAAGGAACCACAAGAUUACUGUUUCUGUGGUGAAGUAGAAUUAUAUCCUUUGACUCUUUCUCUCAGCCUCUUAAAACUCUAAAAAAAAAAAAACCUUAUAAAAAUGACACAAUUAAAAUGACCUCUCAGUUCCAUUAAUUAUCAUCCAUGGAAUGGAAUUUCUACAGAACAGUAAAUCAAAAGAUUCUGAAUACUAAUUUAUCUUUUGUAAAUUCAGAGUUUGACUUAACAGAAUUGGUAAUAAUUCCUUUGAUUUCUUUGUGCAUCAAGGUAUGUAGCAAGGAAAGAAAUUCAACAAUGAACAUCCCAUAUUUCAUUUAAAGUAAUGGGGAUAAUUCUGAGUUAGUCUGUUAAAGAAACAACACGCACAUUGUUUUAUUUGACAGGCAAAGAGCCAGCCAUAGAAAUUGUAACAUUUUUCAUGCAAAUACUAUUUCAUUAUCUGUAUCUGCCCAGUCUCUUUUAUCUAUACGUUUCCUGGGACCUUCCAAAGAAGAUAGUGUGGAACAGAAUGCAAAUUCAACCAAGAUGAGAUAGAAAUUAUCUGAAAUAAGAUGAAAAUCUAACUAAGGCAAUUAUUAAUUAAAUAAGGUCUAUUCCCAGGAGUCAGCAAACUACAGCUCCAUAGGCCAAAUCUGGCCCUUUUUAUAAAGUUUUAUUAAGACACAGCAACAUCCAUUUGCUUACAUAUGUCUAUGGCUGCCUUCAUGCUAGAAUGGCAGAGUUGAAUAGGUGUGACAGAGAGCAUAUGGCCUGUGAGCCUAAGAUGUUUAUGUAAUCUUUCAAAGAAAACAUCUCCUAGCCCCUGACCUAUGCCAUAUGUCUUAGAGAAUAGCCUUUGUUGAUGGUUUCUAAAGAGUCCUUGGAUGGGUUAAAAUGGAAGGAUGAUAGAUGCCAAUCUCCAAGUUCAUAUUGGAGGUGUUGCUGCCGCUGGAAAAGGGGAAGGGAGAAAGGAGCUACUUAUUCCAAGUGUUUGUACUGUUAGGAAUGUUGGAAAUAAAUUUUCAGUGCCGCAAAAGAAAUAGCCCUCAAACAUGAAUUUUCUCAGCAAGGCAAUUUUACUUCUAUAGAAGGGUGCAUCUCCUGGAUGGAGCAAUGGUGAGAGCACACCUGAACAAGUGAGGGAAAGGGGUUCUUAUCCCUGAUGCAGGUAGCCCCUACUGCUGUGUCAUUCCCCCAUUGGCUAUGGUUGGACCACACAGUCUAAGCUAAUUCUGACUGGCUAUUUUAAAGACAGCAAGGGUAUGAGCCAGAGAGGCAGGGUGAGCAGUUUGGUGGGAAUGAUGGUUACAGAACAGGUGACUCAGGAUGACUAAGAACAGAGUAGGUGACGAAGGGUGACUAAGGUCAGAGCAGGUGAUAGAGGCUAGGAGGGGGUUGUUUACUGAAACUAGGUGCAAGGAGACAUAAAGAAUGAGGAAGUUAAACUUUAUAAUGUAGAACAAAGAACAGGGGAGCUGAACAUACUGAUACAUUGGUUCUUUGGAGAGGAUCUCAGAACUUUAUACUUAACAAUUUACAGGCUAAAACCUUUGGACAGGAAUUUAUUAUUAUUAUCCUACAAUUUCCCCCUUUUCAAUUUUCAUAGUAGUUUCUCUUCAAACUUUUCUAACAGGUCUUGGCUUUGUUGUUCAAUUUAAUCCUAUAAAAGAAAAAACUGAUCUGAAUAAGGUGGAGGAGAGCUAAGGGAAGUUUUAGUAAGUGUUGCUUCUAUAAGUCUUUAUACUAGCCCACGGAUGCAUGGUAUGACACAACACCCAACGAGAACGAGUACACCUACUAAGGCUGCAAGAGAAGAAUUGAGGCUGUGAUUUCUUUCCAUUUACCAAACCAUCCUUUCUAGCCACUCUGAGAAAGAGUUAUCGACUCUAGAAGUUUAGCUAGUUUAUUGGAUAAAGCAGUAAGUCUUUGUAAGGCUCUUGUUAUGCCCCCAGUGGGGGCAGUGUUGUUUGGGAUAAAGGUACAACGCUGAGUUUUAAUCAUAACACCAACACCGCCUUUUGUGGCUAAUAUCAUAUCCAGGGCCAUUUUGUUUCUCCAGGCCAUCUGGCUGGUGAGCCCCAGUUGUUCUGUUAUCCCUUUGACAGCAACCGUGGAAUAAUUAAUAAACCACUGGUGAUCAUAAUAGAUGUAAUUUAUCCAAUCUAUGUUUUUAUUGUCACCCAUGAAAAUGCUGACUUAAAUCCUGCAGCUAUUUGAUCUCGGGCUUUAAAUUCAUCUGGUUCUCCUCAUAGAACUCCAAUAGUGUUUAUAUAAACAUGGGGGUCAAAGGACCCACGUGAGGCACUUCUUUUACAAUUUUUUUUUUAUCAUAUUGACAGAAUGCUAGGGUGAAAGGGAUGGCCAGUUGGACUAGAGCAUGAGUGCUGCUCUAAUUACUUGGCAGAGUACCCAGCAGUAGUCCCCAGCAAUACCACCACACAUCUGCUCGGGGAUGAACAAGGGCAGACUGAUUGGUAAGCUCUUCAAAAGGCCUGGUUUCACUGCACCCUGUUAAGUCUCCAAGGAAUGCUAACUUUUCCCCCUGCCGUGAAAGGCAUGAGGUGAAGUUAACAUCAGGGGCUGGAGGCCGGAUAGUCUUCAGGGCUGACCCGCAGGGCUCUUGACCUCAGGGAACAGCAGUGAAAGAGUCUUGCAUGACUCACCACCCCAGGCUGUGGGGUUCUGGAAGAGAGCUACCACACAGCUCGUGCCCGGUCUGUGAGAGGACCACCCAAGUGGAAAGGGAACAAUUUGGGUCUCUGGCCUGCCUGUCACACAAGUGUAACAGGCGCUUUUGUUUAGCCUGCAAACAGAAUGUUUAAUCCAUUCCAGCCAAGCAUUUGCGUCCUGAUACCCUGUUUCAGUUGCUAUGGUUUGUUUUGAAUCUUUAACCUGUACAACAAUUACUUUGGUUUUAUCAUUGGGUAUAUAACGAGAGAAGGUUUGGUUACCGGAGAACUAAGGAGAGGGAGAAGUGGGUGCAGGAGGUGAGGAGGCGACGAAGUGCAUUGCAAAGGAUCCCAUGGGGUCCUUCCCUGAGACUUCUGCUCCAAUACCAUAGAAACAGCUUAAUGAAGGGGAAGAACUCUGGGGAGCAGCGAUGGUAAUCUGUACUGGAUUACAUUGGUUCAGCUGACAAUGGGGAGGGUUAACUCUUGUAGUAAAAUGAAUAUAUGGUUUUAAGAAACUGCAAGUACUAGUUGGGGUGGUCCAUCCUUGCUCUUCAGUAUUUUACAGAGCAUUGGACCAACUUCGGCAGAGAAGCUCUGCUCUAGGAGGACAAGAUUCCCAGUUCAUACUAGAAUCUUCGUCAAACUCAUCCCAAACUAACCUAUCCCAGUUAACAGAUUUCCAGUCUGAGGAGAGCUAGGAAGGAUAAAGAUACUUUUCUGAAGUGGAGAGUUACCUCUGGUUAGGCAAAUCUCCACAGGGCAUCACAAGGCAAGCAUCAAAAGUAGUAGUUUGGGGUGAACUUGACCUAGUUACAUUACUAAUGAGAGGUCUAGCAAUCGAAGGGGAAAAGAAAGAGAUGCAAUGUAAGAGGAUCAAACCAAGCUUUAGCUUCGUUGGAGUUGGCCCAGGAAUAGCUGCCCAUGAUUCUGGAGGGGGUCGUGUUCUUUUGACCCAGGUGUGAUGAGUCCAUCUUCUUUCUGCUGUUCAAACUGCAGUCUCGGUGGUUAGAAGCACUAGGAAGUGUUCUUCCCAAGCCAGUUCGAGUUUUCCUUCCCUCCAACUUUUGACGAGGAUGUGGUCCUCAGGCUGAUGUUGGUGUACUGGAAACUCUAGGGGUGGCGCGUGUGCUGAAAGACCUUUAGUUCUGAGGGAAGAGAAAGUGGAAGAAAGACCAAGUAUAUAAUUUCUGAGAAACUGAUCAUUUUUUUUUUUAAUGUGGGAAUGUAAUCAGUGGAAUGCAAACAGGGCAACCUGUACAACACUUCAUAAGGGGAUAAGCCAACAUCUCUCCAAGGAGCUUGUUCAGAUUCUCAACAGGGCAAUGGGAAGGCAUCUAGUCCAUGGCAACCGAGUCUCUAAGACUAAUUUGGUUAGGUGGCUUUUUUUAUAGUUUGGUUCAUUCUUUCCACUCUUCCUGAUGAAGGUAGGUGCCAGGGAAUAUGAUAUUUCCAUGUUAUAUCCAGUACCUGGGCUAAUUUCUUAAUGACAUGUGCAGUGAAAUGAGUUGUAUUAUCUGAAUCAAUGUUUUCUAUUAAUCUAAACUUGGGUAUAAUAUUUUCAAAUAAUGCCUUAACUACAUUAUUAGCAGUUGUACUUGAAAAGGAAAUAGCUUCUACCCAAUGAGUAAGGUGAGCUACUAUUACUAAUAAAUACUUUAGACGACCAAUUGGAGGCAUGUCUGUGUAAUCAAUGUGGAUACUUUGGAAUGGCCUUAAGCCUGGACUCCUUCCCCCAAGGGGCAAUCUAUUUAUAGUUUGUUUAUUCAUUUUCUUACAUACUAAGCAACUGUCUGUAACUGGCCAGGGUAUAAAUUCCUAUGCACCCAUAAACUCUGAGGAAUGAAUCACACAUGGCUUGGAGCUCCCAAUGGGUCCCUUGAUGCAGCUGGAACAAGAUUUUUCUCAUAAGGGUUUGGAUAACAUUUCUCUGUGGUCUGGCAAUAUCCAUUUUCCUUGUGAAUUCUCUUCAGCACCUAUUUUUGUUUUUAGAUCAAAGAAAGCCAAACACCAUUUUAUAUUUGACAAUACUUCCUGUAUGAUUUUAUACCAGAUAAGCUAAAUUUCACCUUUAUAUUAGUGUGUUAUUAAUGUUAAACUCAAUUUUAAUAAAACCUUGUAGACAUAUUUAUCCAAUUUUAAUGCCUGACGAUAAGGUAAGAUUUUUAUAGACUCUUUUUAACCCUUUAUAAUUUUUGUUAAAGAGCAGGUUAGUGCUUUAAGAAAAACCUGUUGUGCUUUUAUUUUAAUGUCCAGUUGACAGAAAAACUGGAUGAUACCCCUUUAACUUUAGCCAAUAUGUUUACACACAGAAUUUCCAUUACAGUUAAUGUUUCAAAACUUGCUUAAACCUUUAAAAUAAUUUUUUAACCUUUUAAUGUAGGUAAAAAUCCAUAUUCUUUUGCCUCCUUAUAAUCCUUUUACCAAAAGUAUAUUUUACUUUCCUUACACACCUUGCACAUAAACUGUUUCUUCAAUAGUUUUACAUUCAGGAGGCCUAAUUACUUUUAAAUUAUACAUUUCUUGAACAAAUUUCCUUUUAUAACAUUGUUGAUGACUUUCACAGACAAUCUUUGACAUGCCUUAACCUUCUGACUUGUUGUAAACAUCUCUUCCCAACAACCAGUUAAUUUACUUUAGGACAAGAAUUUACCAUAUAAGAUUCCUUUUACAUAAAUUAUCCUUUUUUAAUGUCAAAGAUGAUAACCGUUCUUUUCCGAAGCAAACUUCCUUUAUGUCUGUGGACUAGAGUGCCUAAGUCUACAUGAUUAGAAAUUAGGAUAAUACACGUUACACUGUUAACUUUUAGCAAAUUUUACUUUUGUUGAUAACCUUUUAAGUUUGGGAUUUUAAUUAUGUGAUAGGUGUACAGCCUAAGAUCUAGAGAGAAGUGCAGACAAGGUCUGGCUUAUUCUAAAAUUUAACUCCAUGUGUCCUAGGUUUUACCUAGCUGCAAAGCAGGCCAGUUGUACAGCUAAGAAAUGGUAGUCUGUCUGGCUAUCUGAUCUUCUAGGUUAUUUCCUUGACUUUAAAAAGAAAGGCUUUUUUGGUGUCCGGGGACAUGGUCAAUAGCUGUUUCUUUUGGCAGCUGAAGGUUAGUUAAUACUUGGGUGAUUAAUUCCUUAUGGACCAAGUCUUGGCAUUUGCUAUUAAUAAGACCUCGUUCAGUCCAAAUUUUUCCAAAUGUAUGAGCCACUCCAAAGGCGUACUUAGAAUCUGUAUAGAUGGUUCCUUCCUGGUUCUGUAAGUCCUUUAAGGCUUGGCUGAGUGCAAACAGCUCACAUGUUUGAGCAGACCAAUUAUUAGGCAAUUUUCCUAACUCUAUUUCUACAAGAGUUUCUCUAUCAAUUACUGAAUACCCAUUGUAUCUUUUUCCCUCUAUCACCUGGGAGGAACCAUCUAUAAAGUGUUGUCCCGUCCUGAAGGGAGUUUCUCCUAGGUCUGGUCGGACCUUUGUAUGGUAAUUAAUUAAAACUAAACAUGUGUGCUCUCUCUUUUGAUAUAGAUCCCCUGUUAGGAAACCUGCUGGGUUAAGUGAAUUAUCAGUGGUUAAUGUUAAAUCAUCUUUUUCUAAGAGAAUAGCCUCAUACUUUAAGAUUCUGGAGUCAGUAAGCCACCUUUCUGCUUUCUGACUUAGGAUAGUUCUGACCUGGUGAGGUGUGUUCACAAUGAGGUUUCCUCCAAAACUUAUUUUUCUACUUUCUUCUGUUAGCAAAGCAGUUGCUGCUACAGAUUGAAUGCAUCUGGGCCAUCCGUGGGUUACUGGCUUAAGGAUUUUUGAUAGGAAGACUACGGGUUGUCAGUGGCCUCCAUGCUUUUGGUUUCUCUAGGUUCAAAAGAAAGAGGAGUGAAGAGGAGUAAAACACACAUCUAUUAAAAAGCAAGAAGAUUAAAUAAAUUGAAGCUUUUUAUUUCUCUUUCUCUGCCUAAGGACCCAGUGGCUGUCUUGAUGUCUCACAGCAGGAAGAGACUCUCUCAAAUAGGUGUACACAUGGGGAGAGAGAGAGCAAGGAGACUGAGAUACAAUCAGCCACCAGCAAGUUGUCUUGAUUUUCUGAAUGGAGCGUGGUAGCAUGUUAUAGAGUCCAAGGAAUUUGCCAAAUCCGUGUGAGAAGAUUUGCCUCUCACAUGUGAGAGAAUUUUUUGAGAAAAAAAAGAUCCUGACCCCGUCCCUCUGCCACCACCCGAGUGAGGAAGACUGACAGAGCACAUUGGCUUGCUGUGGAGACAAGAUCAGGGAAAGCGCCCCUGAAAAGAAAGCAUUUUGGAAGUCCUGAAGGUGGAGAAGGAGAUUUAGAGGAAGAGUGAUAAAUCAGAAGUCUUCGUCCAAGAAUUAGCUUUGCACCAUCUACAGACCUAAGCAGCUGCAGGAAUGCCCUCUCCAAACAUGCCUAUCGAAUAAGGUCCUGUUCAUGAUGCAAAUCUCUAUGUGAUCUUCCUCCGGAAUUCUUGAGCCCAU